CAAUGGAUAAGCAAAGUUCGAAGAAGCAUAAAACACAAAAAGAGGCACAUGCAAAGACACCCAAGAAGAGGGGUAGAAAGCUUGCAAUGGCCAUAUCCAGACCUCCACUGCCAUUGAUUGGGCAGCAUUGGAUGCAUAUAAAGACAAGAAAACUGGAGAACUUUUGGGUCCACAACAUUCGUUUAAUGUGGAGUUUGCUCAAGACAACAUGCAACAAAUAAGUGAUAGCCUUGAUUGCGGACUGUUCGUAGCUGUAUAUGCAGAAUUUCUGAGUGACAAAAUCAACAUGUCAUGUAAUAGUUUUGAGAGUAGCUAUCUUCGCAAAAGAUAUGCGAUACUUUUAUUGAAGUAUGGUCUCGACAAGGUGAAUGUUGGAUAUGUUAGCAACAGUGAUGACCCUCCAAGAAUGAAGAAUGUAUUAAGCCCAUUAUCUGAAGAUGAAAUUGUUAAUGUAGGCUAGUUAGUUUUCAAUGUUUGAUUUUUUUUUUGUUUUUUGGAGUUAAACAAGAUGUUUGAAGUAUUUAUUAACAUAACAACACAUAUUGUUAAAUUAUGAAAGUGUUUUGAUUUUUAAAA